rnacentral:rRNA from 1 species
AAUCAACGCUGGCGGCGUGCCUAACACAUGCAAGUCGAACGAGAAAGUGGGGGCAACCCUGCGAGUACAGUGGCAGACGGGUGAGUAACACGUGAACAACCUACCCUCGAGUGGGGAAUAACACCGCGAAAGCGGUGCUAAUACCGCAUAAAAUCUUUUUAUCGCAUGAUGAGGAGAUCAAAAGCGCAAGUUGCUUGAGGAGGGGUUCGCGGCUGAUUAGCUAGUUGGUGAGGUAACGGCCCACCAAGGCAACGAUCAGUAGCCGGCCUGAGAGGGCGGACGGCCACACUGGAACUGAGACACGGUCCAGACUCCUACGGGAGGCAGCAGUGGGGAAUUUUGCGCAAUGGACGAAAGUCUGACGCAGCAACGCCGCGUGGAGGAUGAAGGCCUUCGGGUCGUAAACUCCUGUCGAUGGGGACGAAAACCUCGCGAGAGGUCUGACUGUACCCGUUGAGGAAGCCACGGCUAACUCCGUGCCAGCAGCCGCGGUAAUACGG